ensembl:misc_RNA 7SK 7SK RNA
GGAUGUGAGGGCAAUCUGGCUGGACAUCUGUCACCCCAUUGAUCGCCACGGUUGAUUCAGCUGAUCUGGCUGGCUAGGCGGGUGUCCGCUUCCUCCAUCACCGCUCCAUGUGCGUCCCUCCUGAAGCUGCACUCUCAGUCGAAGAGGACAACCUUCUCCGAUAGAGGAGAAGACCGUUCUUCGGUCAAGGGUAUACGAGUAGCUGCAUUCCCCUGCUAGAACCUCCAAACAAGCUCUCAAGAAUUCUUGCCUAGGAGAAUCAUUUCCUCCCAGUCACGGGAAGGUCAGUCUUUUUGU